GUGUGCGCACUCGGCACGUCAACCGCUAAACCACCUCUCCCCUCUUGCCUCGCUUCAGGCGCAUCCGUUUUUCGCCUGCCCACGUGCCCUCCUCCGACUGUGCAGCGUGCAAAGUUACUCACAAACAGCCCCUUCCCCCUCCCGGCAAAAAAAAAAACAGAAAGAAUGGAGCUGGUGCAGCAGUCGAUCGCGCCGCUGAGCCCCUUCACUUGGGUCCCGGAAGAGGAGGCAGCCACGCCUGGCUAUGCGAACGUUGCUCUUCACGACAUCGCGCGGCUGGAUCUGCGAUUCGAGCUCAUUGUCGAGGAAUUCGCCGUUCCUUUCCGCCAUCCGCUCCACCGCAUUUACGCCACGCAUCCACUUCUGCGCAAUGCCCUGUCGCCGCGGCAGCUGCAGCUGCUGCAGUACGGCAUGGUGGUGGAUUCAGAAGAGCAGCUCGUCAUCGUGGCAGCGUCGCCCUGCUGCGGCGAUUCGGGGGCCUGCAUCGCCGCCUCAUACCAGCAGGUUUUCGAACGGGCCAUGGACUCGACAAGCAGCAUGGAGAGUCACCCGCUUUUGCUGGAGUAUACCUUCGUCGUGUACCGGCUUCCCGCUGCCGUGGCCAACGAUCAGGCACGCGGCAGCGACGCCCCUGAGGCGCUCUUCCGUCUCGUCUUCCGUAACAUUGUCUCUCAGGAGGAGAUGCGGGGCGCCGACAAGGCUGCCGCGCCGCGCUAUAUGCUGGUAGCGGUGCUAGCGUCUUCGGAUGCCUACUACGCGGAGCUACAGCGUGGCAUUCAGUACCGCAACGAAUGGAUCGCCAACAUGGCGGCCACGCGCGCGUGCGAUCCGCCACUCUCCAAGGUUUCAUCCUCCUCGUCGACCUCCACCACCGUGCCUCCGCAGAGAAUGGUGCCAGAGACGGUGGCGCGUGAAGUGUGCGCUUCCUCGCCGCUGUCGCAGCUGUGCACGAGCUUGGCCUGCGUACUCGAGCGCUUGAGCCCAGAGGAAACGGGCGUGGACCUCGAAGGCGUCGUCCGUAAGGAUGUGGUGGACGGAGAUGUUGCCAAGGCGGUGGGCGGCUCCUUUGCUCGAGGACCUUGCGUGGUGAAGGCAAGGGAUCCGUGGAUGUACUACUACACGCGAGAAGGACCCCGCCUAAAGAAGCGUAUCGACGUGGCGCAGAGCACCCCUGCGGUGUUGCGGGCGUGGCGUGACGGCGCGAUGGAUCUGGCCGAGUUCCAGGUAACGCCGAUGAAGGCCGGCGAUGUGUGGAGUGGCUCUGUCGAUCCUCACAAGAGCACACACCCACUCCUCUCACUCGCGUCGAAGGCCGCGCCGUGCGCGCGCUUGCUGCUUCUGCCGUCACACCGGGAGGUGUCAACCCUCUUUGCCGACAACGAGAUCACCUCCUUUUUGCCUAAGGCUGAGGUGGCCGACGAGGCAGGGGGCAAGCCGUUUGGCGUGGUGUACGUCAACCCGGCAGCUGAGCGACUGCGGCGGUGGAUCCUGCAAGGACUCGUGUGCGCCGAGGCGCACGGGGUGCAUACAGUGUUCCUAGAGCUGGACCCUGUCGACCUCAUCGCACCGUGCGUCGAGCUGCUCUACGAGGACAGUGAUGCAGAAAAUCUGAGCGGCGUAGAGGACCGCGUUGGCGUCGACAAGGGCUACACCGAGUCGCAGCUGCGCUAUCGGCGCGCGCUCUUCCUGGUGUGCCAGGUGUGCAUGGAGACGGUGGAACUCUUUGUGCGGUGCAGCGGGCUUGUGUGGAAGGUGACAGUGGCGGUGAAAGAGCUUGGCGGCAAAACGUUCGCGUCUCGGGACAAAAACUGCGAGAACGCCGCAGUCCGCGUCGACGCCUCCAAAGCGGCCUUCACGAACGUUCCCUUCACCCUGUGGUGCGGCGAGAUCCUCGACGUGAUUCGCAAGGCAGCGGUCGCGCUGGAGUCGAGGUCUGCACUCAACACGCUGUCCUUUCCGGAUGAAGGCGAGAGUGCAGUAGGAGACGACGCCGCUGUGGCGGCGGCAGCGGUGAAAGCAGCUCCCCUGAACGGCGCGCACGCCAGCGCUCUGAUUGCGCAGCCGGAAUCGUCGAGGGCGCUUGUGACGUAUCCGAAAGAGGGUAUCGAGGGAGCACUGGCGCUCUUUUCGGGGGACGCAGUGAGGUCGACAGUGCCUGUCCCGCCAUACAUCGCUGCGCAGGCGGAGGCCGCCGGCGUAAAGGUCGGUGAUGAUGCCAUGCAUCCGCUCUUCAAGGCGCUGUGCGCUGCCGCACGGCAGCAGGACACCCUACCUGUGUCUUCCUUGGUGGAUGUCUUGCUUCAUGAGUGGACCGGUGGCUCUCCGAAGAGUCGUCGUCGCUUACCGUUGCGGCUCAUCUGCCCGCUUGACAGCUGCGGGGUCCCUGUCAACCGCUCUCGCGUGCAGCGCUUUUUGCUCCCCUUCCUGCAGGUGAUGCGGAGUUCCCCCGGUGUGCGGACCGGGUCCGCGAUGCGGACAGAGAACCCCGAUGACGCCGGAACCGUGAACUACGCCCAGUUCUCCAUGGUGAUGCUUGCUAUCGCCAAAAUGUAAUGCUGUUCACUUUUCCCCUUUGCUUUCCUUGCGUAUCUGUCUUGGUGCCACCAAGCGACUGUGCGUAAAUGCAAUGCCAGGGAUGGAUCGCGUAGUCAAGGGAGGCGCCACUGACACGCACACACUUGAGCACCUAAAACAGCAGACGCAGAACACGAACAUGUCCCCCACCCCGCCCUGCUUUUCACACCCCUCUCUCUGCAGAACGUGAAAACUGAGUCAUUGGCUUUUGUGCGGAUCCCAUCACUCUCUCGCUCUCUAUUGGUCGCCUCCCCCUCCCCCCCCCACACACACAUGGCGGAAUGUGCACGCGGCCACAGAAAUGUACACUAUAUUACGUAUCAGUGCUCACUCUACUCUCGGAUUUUUUUUCGUUAUUGUUUGUCGUUUUUUUUUUUAACGAUGAGAAGGGGCGUUGUGAUUUCCUGUUCAGGGUUCGGUGUGGAGCUUUUUCACCAACGCCACCUCCUCCUCUCUGUACCAGUGCAAGUGUCUAUAUAUAUGUGUGUGUGUGUAUGUUCAUGUGUGUGCGUGCGGUUCGGCACCUCGAAGUCAGGCAUGCGGCAACGGUGUGCAGCCGAUGUGAGUGUGCCCUACCCUCUCCCUUUGUUUCAUUUCUCCCCCGCUCUCUGCGCCACUGCAGAGACGGCAAAGAGGGUUGAGGAGGAGGAGGAGGGGGAGUCGAGCUGUUGAUGUUGUCUUUCAAACUACCGCCCAGCUACUUUCACAAGCCGAACACGAAGUUAUGUGGACGUGUGGGAGCGCUUGUGUGUGUGUGUGUGUGUGAAGCACUCCUUGUUUUAUUGCAUGAUUUCUGUGCAACGAACCACUUGAGUCGAGCGGGCGCACAGUUGCAGGGGUCUGCGCAGCUCCUCCGCACCACCUCUCUUUCCGCCCGAAAUGCCAUGUACAGUAUCUCUUUCCUUCCCUCUCUUUUUUUUCCACGUGGCUUGUGGUGCUUAACUGGACUUCCCCCAUUCCCCCUUUCCAAAGGGGGCGACGGCGGCUUCGUCGAGCGGGUUUUGUUUGUAUCCUUCUCCGUGCGUACCCCCUGUGGAUUACGCAUCGUGGCUUUUGCCGCGUUUUUACUUGGCUACUUUCGAACUUUACGCACCUCAUCGCAACGGCAAAGACGAAAAGCUAAACGGAAAUAUAUAUAUAUAUAUAUAUAUAUGAUGCCACUCUGCAGUACGUCGCACGCCGCACCACCCCUCUAUGACGCACGCUGCCAGCCCGUUCUCUACGGCGGCGCGGCUUUAGUGUGGCCCCAAUGGGAAUGUGCACUUCCACAGCGCUGUAG
rnacentral:misc_RNA from 1 species